CCGCACGCGCGCUACACUGACGGAGCCAGCGAGUACUUCCUUGUCCGAAAGGUCCGGGUAAUCUUGUUAAACUCCGUCGUGCUGGGGAUAGAGCAUUGCAAUUAUUGCUCUUCAACGAGGAAUCCCUAGUAAGCGCAAGUCAUCAGCUUGCGUGGAUNACGU
rnacentral:rRNA from 1 species